ACUGAAGAAGCACCAGCUAACUCCGUGCCAGCAGCCGCGGUAAUACGGGGGGUGCGAGCGUUAAUCGGAUUAACUGGGCGUAAAGGGCACGCAGGCGGUUGUUUAAGUGAGGUGUGAAAGCCCCGGGCUUAACCUGGGAAUUGCAUAUCAGACUGGACAACUAGAGUACUUUAGGGAGGGCUAGAAUUCCACGUGUAGCGGUGAAAUGCGUAGAGAUGUGGAGGAAUACCGAAGGCGAAGGCAGCCCCUUGGGAAUGUACUGACGCUCAUGUGCGAAAGCGUGGGGAGCAAACAGGAUUAGAUACCCUGGUAGUCCACGCUGUAAACGCUGUCGAUUUGGGGAUUGGGGUUUAACUCUGGUGCCCGUAGCUAACGUGAUAAAUCGACCGCCUGGGGAGUACGGCCGCAAGGUUAAAACUCUAAUGAAUUGACGGGGGCCCGCACAAGCGGUGGAGCAUGUGGUUUAAUUCGAUGCAACGCGAAGAACCUUACCUACUCUUGACAUCCAUGGAAUCUUGUAGAGAUAUGAGAGUGCCUUCGGGAACCAUGAGACAGGUGCUGCAUGGCUGUCGUCAGCUCGUGUUGUGAAAUGUUGGGUUAAGUCCCGCAACGAGCGCAACCCUUAUCCUUUGUUGCCAGCGAUUAGGUCGGGAACUCAAAGGAGACUGCCGGUGAUAAACCGGAGGAAGGUGGGGAUGAG
rnacentral:rRNA from 1 species